AGAUUGAACGCUGGCGGCAUGCUUUACACAUGCAAGUCGAACGGCAGCACGGGGGCAACCCUGGUGGCGAGUGGCGAACGGGUGAGUAAUGCAUCGGAACGUAUCUUUAAAGUGGGGGGAUAACGCAUCGAAAGAUGCGCUAAUACCGCAUAAUCUCUGAGGAGAAAAGCAGGGGAUCGCAAGACCUUGCGCUUUUGGAGCGGCCGAUGUCUGAUUAGCUAGUUGGUGGGGUAAAGGCUUACCAAGGCUUCGAUCAGUAGCUGGUCUGAGAGGACGACCAGCCACACUGGGACUGAGACACGGCCAGACUCCGUACGGGAGGCAGCAGGUGGGAAUUUUGGACGAAGGUACGGGGGAAACCCUGACUCCGAGCCAGUCGCCGCGUGAGUAGAA
rnacentral:rRNA from 1 species